GCGGGUCAGGGGGCGGGCGGGUCCAUGGUCAGGUUGGUGAGGUUAAAAACCGCACGAGGUGUGCAGAGUGAUGGUGCGGACGCCGCUUCUGCGCUAGCGGGGCUCGGCCAAGUCCCGAGCCUGAACAGGGGGCAGUGCGGCCAUCGCCAACUGGGAGCGAAAGGCAGGGUAGAAGACAAGGUGCUGAGGGGGACGCGUCUCCUCGGAGGUGACACUGCGGUUGAGACCGAGUGGAAGGGGGAGCCCGGCAGGGGGAGUAGGCGGUGCAGCGGCGCGGAGGCUCGUCGGGAGAAGCGAGGGGAGGCCAGGGUGGCGGCUCGCAGGCCAGGGCUGGGAAGGUGGAGUUCGGCGGUGCUGGGGCGACGUGGAGCACGUGCAGCACCCCGCGCCGAGGCGUCAUCCCUGGCCGGCGGGCAGUGCAGGCAGGGAGGCUGACUCUUCUGGCAAAGUAGUGGCCUUGAGCCCAGGCAGAAGGCUGGGAAGAGUAAAACCCGGCGCCGAGAGGGCCAGAGCUUUGGGAUUUGGUUCACCCAGGUGCCUCCGGCGUUCCCCGCCCGGGUCUGGCAAGCGGCCGUUACUCCGUGACUCAGUGAGCGGAAGGAAGGUGCACCCUGCCCCAGACGUUGUCUGAACAGGUAGGUGCACCAAAGAAGAGAAGGGGACAGGUGGAGAGCGGAUGUCUUUUGGAGGAAGGAACCCCUGUGACUUGGAGAUGGAUGAGCUGCCAUGGCAAGGACAAGAGAGUCCAGGUUGCAGCUUGGUGACCAGGAAUUGGGGGGAUGGUGCUGCAGACCUUGUCUGCAAGUCAUUGCUCUCUGCUCCCUGUGGUUUUCCCAGCCGGUGAAUGGUGAAGCCUUUCCCUCUGCAGUCCCCUGGCCCUGUCCAGGGGUGUCAGGUGUACCCCAGCACCUCACUGAGGGGUGUCUGACAGUCAAGGACGCAAGAGCACGGAAAGAGCAGCCGCCUCCUGAGUCCCCUCUUCUAAGACACCGGCACGUUCUUCGUUCUUCGAAGGAGCUAGCUCCCUGUGCCUGGUGCAGCCACGCCGCAUGCUGGGCAGUGUGGACGCAGACGCGCACACCAGCAGGACUCCCGGAACUGUGCCCUUCUGCCGUUCCUGCUUCCUGCCACUUCCAUCCGGAGCCCAGGGACACCUUGACCCCGAGAAAGGACCUUGACCCUCCACCUGGACAGAGCAGGCAGAUGGCGUCUGACUGGCUGAGGCCUUGAUGGUGAGAGAAGGUCCAGACUGCGUUCUCUGGACUUUGGACUCAGCUGAGAAAUAAACACCUGUCUGUUUAAACGUCGGGCGCUGGGCCUUCUGGUGCGCAAGCCAGCUCGUGGCAGCCUUCCCUUCACGGGAGCUGUUUCUGCAGCCAGGGUUGGGGUCCCCUUGCCCCGUGGCCUGCUGCCUGAUCUCUUCCCCAUGGGGGAGGCCGUGGAGGGGCUUAGCCUGAGGCCUGCACUCAGCAGGGUCUGCCCCCUCCUCCCUGGUCAGGCUGUCUUGCUGAGGGACUGUCCCCAAGUCCACUGUGUGUUUUGGUUGAAACACGCCAUUAGAUGGGGCCGGAUUUUCCACAGACCUACUCAGUCCUUGUGUGGGUGUCGGCCCCUUGGGAGUGUGUCCCUCCCUAAGGCCACAGGGGGCAGGGAAGGUGUGACCUUGGCUUUGGGGUCUGCUGACCGCUGCGGGGGGGGGUGGCGGGAGUCCAGCAGACACAGCAGCUGUUUGGUCCAAUAUCUCCGGGGACCCUCUGGGCCCUAAAGUCUGGAGGAGAGUGGGCUGGGCUGGGGCUGGGGGAUGAAGCAGGUCAGCUCUCCUGUGGGGUGCGUGGCUCCUUCCCCAUCUCCCCUGGGCCCGGAGCUGUCUCAGCAAACCAAACCAGCUAGGCUCGGGGAGGAGGGGGUUCAGGCCCCACUGCUGGCUCCUCAGGGAUUCUCAGCUCUGAGCUGGGUGCCCUGCAUCCUUGCAGAUGGCCUGGGGCUGCCUCUCCCUGCUGCUCCUGGGGUCCCUUCUGCCCGUCUGCAGUUGCCCCAGCUGCACACUCCUCCCACAGACACCCUGGGCCCGGCGGGCUCUCCCCGACUGCGGCACUCCGGCCCCUCUGGUCCCCACCGGGGCAGCUCAGCCCUGCCCUCUCCCCAGCCACCGGGGAUCUUCCCAAGAAGGGUCUGAUCGGGACCAUGGCCACUUUCAUCCUGCCUGUCUCCACGGCCCUCUUCCCCCCAUCAGAUGAACCACCUCUCUCUGGACUGGUGCAAUCUGAUUUCAAAGCUUGAGACCAAGCAGGGGAUGUGGAGCAGUCGGACCACUGGCUCUGCCCUCCUCCCGCUGCCGGCCAACCCCACAGGGGCACAGGCGCCUUGCAGACGAUGCUUGCUGUGGGGCACGUUUAGGACCACAACCACCCCCGCGUUUAUGUUGUGUAACGUGGAACUAGGUGAUGAGGGUGUAAGGGAUUCUAAAGGGAACAGGAACCCACUGGAGACUGCGCAGUGCUCCUAAGCUCGGAGAGGCUGAUGAAAAUGCACUUGUGAGGCUGUCCUGGAGGAAACGAGGUGAUGGAACCCGUCUUCUCUAAAACUAUGAAUCCUAAGAGAAUAUAGAGAUUCAAAUCGUGGAAAUAAGGAAACCGUAAGAAAUCGGCACCUGGGCGGCUUGGUUGGUUACACGUCUGUCUUCGGCUCAGGUCAUGACCCCAGGCCUGCUCAUCCCUCUCCCUGUGUGUGCACACGCUCACUCUCACUCUCAAGCACAUUUAAAAAUCUUUAAAAAAGCCUGUCAGAAAUAAGAGCAUGCAAAUAAAAUAGGAACUGAUGCAGAA